rnacentral:piRNA from 1 species
UUGAUGACUAAAGAUGUUGAACAUUUCUUUA